UGGGGAAUAUUGGACAAUGGGGGGAACCCUGAUCCAGCCAUGCCGCGUGUGUGAAGAAGGCCUUAUGGUUGUAAAGCACUUUAAGCGAGGAGGAGGGUACUGGUAUUAAUACUACCAGGUACUGGACGUUACUCGCAGAAUAAGCACCGGCUAACUCUGUGCCAGCAGCCGCGGUAAUACAGAGGGUGCGAGCGUUAAUCGGAUUUACUGGGCGUAAAGCGUGCGUAGGCGGCUAAUUGAGUCGGAUGUGAAAUCCCAGAGCUUAACUUGGGAAUUGCAUUCGAUACUGGUUAGCUAGAGUGUGGGAGAGGAUGGUAGAAUUCCAGGUGUAGCGGAGAAAUGCGUAGAGAUCUGGAGGAAUACCGAUGGCGAAGGCAGCCAUCUGGCCUAACACUGACGCUGAGGUACGAAAGCAUGGGGAGCAAACAGG
rnacentral:rRNA from 1 species